CCAGAGUCCCGGGGCCAGAGUGGGAUGGGAGUGCGGGAUCGGAAGUUCCAUUUUUCAGAUGGGAAAAGCGAGGCUCAGAGAAAGUUUUCUCCCCAGGAAUCUGGAAAGAGGAAGGUGGUGAUGAUUGUGCCUGUAGCCAAGACCGGGAGAACCCUGGACCCCUACACCUUCCCCACCCCUGGAAUGUCACUAUACAUGUCUGACUUCCUUCUGAUGUUGCCUUUGACCCUAAAGUCAAUAUGAUAAAGUAACAAGAAGCUGGGACAGAGGAACAAACACAGCCCACUCAAGUAGUGGUGGCAACAUUCUGUUAGAAAGAAGGGGAGUCAAAGAAAAAAAACCCCUCCCCCCAUGUCCUUGAUCACCUCCCUAAAGACAGAGGAGAACAUGGAC